UCAAGAAAUUUUCAAUUUCGCUUUCACAUUCGUUAGUUGUUCCUCCGACAAAAUAAACCUCCAUCAUCCAUGUCUACCAGUGUUUAUAAAAAUCAAUUCAACACUUUCUUCAAAACAUUUAGAAAAUGUGUCGCCUCAGUAAAAUUUGAUAUUUAAUUAAGUUUAAAACAAAAAUAAAAGUUUACAACCAAAGUUGAGUUUGAGAAAUUCACAUCGCCGACCGACAUCGUCGACGUCUCAAAUCGACCACCAAGUCCUUUUUUUAACGACGUCCAAUCUUCUCUAGCUAUUUCGCUUUUUACGUAUCUAAAAUCAUUCUUUUUGUCUUGAUUUUAGUUUGUUGUCGCCUGUGAAAAGUGAUUUAAUUCUUUAUUUUUUUCAAAUUUAAUUUUUGUAUUCCUAAUUUCUGUGUGAUUUUGUAUUCAUUCAAAUUUUUUGUAAUGAAUUUUGUAAUAAAGAAAAUAAAUUAACAAAAGAAAAAGCCUAGAACCUGACCUUUUCCAAAUAGCAAACACCGAGAAUCGAGGAAAGAGAACUUGAAUUUUGCUAGUACCGAGUACCCCGGAAGGAUCGGCAUUUUGGAUCUAAAUCAUGGAUUCGGCGGGCAAAAAACGUGUUUAUAAAAUUGUUCUAACUGGUGGACCAUGUGGAGGAAAAACUACCGGACAGUCAAGGCUUUGUACGUUUUUCGAAAAUCUGGGAUGGAAGGUAUUCCGUGUGCCUGAAACGGCUACUGUGCUUCUCAGUGGCGGUGUCAAAUUCUCGGACCUAACAGAUAAAGAAGCCCCAACUACAUUCAAAUGUCAACAAUUUCCAUUCGGUUCUCCUGAGCAUAGCCAAAUCGAUUUAACCGCUUCAUGUCCAAGAUGUUUAGCUUCGGCUGCGGACAAACAAAGCGAAGCUUAUAAGUUUCAAGAGAACCUUAUCCGUACCAUGAUACAAAUUGAAAAUACCUACUUUGAAGUUGGUAAUUCAUGUAAUCGAAACUGUUUGAUCAUAUGCGAUCGCGGUGUUAUGGAUGCAAGCGCUUAUAUUUCAAAGGAAAAAUGGGAAAAAAUGAUGGCGGCUAACAACUGGAAUUCUAUUGAACUCAGAGAUAAUCGUUAUAAUCAAAUUCUUCAUUUAGUAUCAGCUGCAAAUGGUGCUGAAGAAUUUUAUACAACAGAAGAUCAUGCUUGCCGUUCGGAAGGUGUUGAAAUGGCCAGAGAAUUGGACUAUAAAUCAGCAGCUGCAUGGGUCGGGCACCCAUAUUUCGAUGUUAUUGAUAAUUCAACAGAUUUCGAAUCGAAAAUGAAUCGUUCCAUUGAAGCAGUAUGCCAAAAACUCGGUAUCGAUAUUGGUGAUCGUCUUAAGACCAGCUCAAGAAAACUUAAACUUCUGGUCGGAAGUCUACCACCUGAUUCCGAAUUUCCACCGUUUCAAGACUUUGAUGUCGUGCAUCACUAUUUACAAUCCUCAGGACCAAAAGUACAAGCAAGGCUACGCAAACGUGGUCAAAAGAACCACUGGAGUUACAUCCAUACCAUUCGUCGGCCACACCUCCACGGGCAGGCUGUUGAGGUAAAAACCCAACUAACCCAUCGAGACUAUAUGAAUUUAUUGGCACAGCGUGACUACACUCAUUUUACAAUCUACAAGAAACGUCGUUGCUUUCUAAUCAACAAUCAAUACUUUCAACUGGACAUUUAUAGAGAACCAAGUCAUCCGAGAUGCAAGGGACUCGUUCUUUUGGAGACUUACUCAUCACUGUCCGGUGAUGCCCUGAAGAACUGCAUGCCAAAAUUCUUAAACAUAGUCAAAGAGGUAACCGGCGAUCCAGAUUACUCAAUGUUUAAUCUAUCACUUAAAGAAGAUUGGAGUGUUACCAAGAAAUUUUGUCAUUCAUUGCAUGCAACAAAAAUCAUAAUUAUGGGAUAAACCUACAGUUUUAUCUUCUAUAAUCUCCUUAGAGUCUUGAAGAUUCUUUAAGAAUUUAAUAAUUAAAAUUAAAAAAUAGUAUCCAAGGAGGCUAAGACCAAGGCACCGAAGCUUCUAAAAAAUCUAAAACAAAUGGAGUAUCGAAUACGCAAUUGAUAGUAAACGGUCAUGCAAAGGGUUAAUUUUAACUAAUAUGUAAUAUAAAUAUAUAUUUUAUUAUGAUUAUUAUUAUAUUAUUAAAAUUAUUAUACGUAGCAAACUUCUUUAGUGAAAUGCAAAAACAUUAAAUGAAUUAUAUUCUGAUAAUAAAACAACAUCAAAACUUUAUUGUUAUCUUAAUACAAAUACAAAAAUCAAAAAGAGAAUAAAAUUUAUUAUCUACAAACUCAACAAUGUAGUAACACUUUAUUAAGUUAUUAAUUAUAUUGUAAACUGAUUUUAAUUUUUAUUUUUAUUUGGCUGAUUUACAUUUUAUCUAAAUUAUAAUAAUUUAGAUUUAAAAUGCCUUUGCUGGAUAAAAGAAUUAAAAUAAAACAUUAUUCAAGAGCUUUUUUGCUUUUUUUACUUUUUCUGUUUUUCUGUUUUUAUUUGUUUACUUUUUCUGUUUCAAUAUUUGACUGUACUUAUUUUGAAUUUAAAAUAAAUUAAUCAUUGUGAUUGCUCUCUCGAAAUUCAAACCUAAUUAUUAUGUUCUUAAUUAAAUUACAUAAAUAUACAAACAUACAUACAACUUAUACUUAUGAUUUGAGUACUUAAACAAGUUUUAACUUAAAUAAAUUAUAAACAAAAUAUAAACUAUGAGAAAAAGAUAAUUUAUUCUCUUGUAUUAUUUAUAUUACCUACUUACUUACUAUACACACAAAAUAAAUAAAAGUAAAAUAAACAAUAACAUUUAAAAUUAAAUUAGAAAUUGUUAGUCAAAUAUUAUCUUAUUUUUAAGAAUAAACUAAAUUCAAAGUAACUCACAUAGAAAGACCAUCAUGAUGUAUAGUAGUUAUGAGUAGAGGUACAAAAUAGCUAAAUGCAAAAAUAUAAUUUCAUUUAAAUUUUUGUUGUUUAUUUUAGUUUGGUUAAAUUGUUUUAAUUUUGUUUUGCGAUUCACUACCAAAGAGAGACAUGAAAUUUAUUUCAAAACAAAAAAUAUAAAGAAUAUUACUUUUAAAUAUUAUUAAUGAUCUUUGUAGCUACAUGAGAGAACUUUAAAGAAGAAACAAGAAUGUUAGGUGAUAAAUCAUGAAUUUUAUUGUUAAAAAUAAAAUAAAUAAAAAACAAACUAAAUAUGUACGUAAACACCCACUAUCAAACUCAA